UCCGGCUUACCACCGGCGGUCCCUCUAGAGUGCCCAGCCAAACCUGCUGGCAACUAGAGGCGAGGGUUGCGCUCGUUGCGGGACUUAACCCAACAUCUCACGACACGAGCUGACGACAGCCAUGCAGCACCUGUGCACGAGCUCCGAAGAGGGGCCCCUGUUUCCAGAGGCUUUCCCGUACAUGUCAAGCCCAGGUAAGGUUCUUCGCGUUGCGUCGAAUUAAACCACAUGCUCCACCGCUUGUGCGGGUCCCCGUCAAUUCCUUUGAGUUUUAAUCUUGCGACCGUACUCCCCAGGCGGUCUACUUCACGCGUUAGCUGCGUUACCAAGUCAAUUAAGACCCGACAACUAGUAGACAUCGUUUACGGCGUGGACUAC
rnacentral:misc_RNA from 1 species